GAUGAACGCUAGCGGCAGGCCUAAUACAUGCAAGUCGAACGGGAUCCAUUAUCUAGCUUGCUAGAUGAUGGUGAGAGUGGCGCACGGGUGCGUAACGCGUGAGCAACCUACCCAUAUCAGGGGGAUAGCCCGGAGAAAUCCGGAUUAACACCGCAAACACAUUUUAUUCGCAUGGGUUUAAUGUUAAAUAUUUAUAGGAUAUGGAUGGGCUCGCGUGACAUUAGCUAGUUGGUAAGGUAACGGCUUACCAAGGCGACGAUGUCUAGGGGCUCUGAGAGGAGAAUCCCCCACACUGGUACUGAGACACGGACCAGACUCCUACGGGAGGCAGCAGUAAGGAAUAUUGGUCAAUGGAGGGAACUCUGAACCAGCCAUGCCGCGUGCAGGAAGACUGCCCUAUGGGUUGUAAACUGCUUUUAUCUAGGAAUAAACCUAAGUACGUGUACUUAGCUGAAUGUACUAGAAGAAUAAGGAUCGGCUAACUCCGUGCCAGCAGCCGCGGUAAUACAGAGGAUCCAAGCGUUAUCCGGAUUUAUUGGGUUUAAAGGGUGCGUAGGCGGCCUAUUAAGUCAGGGGUGAAAGACGGCAGCUCAACUGUCGCAGUGCCUUUGAUACUGAUGGGCUUGAAUGUGGUUGAAGAUGGCGGAAUGAGACAAGUAGCGGUGAAAUGCAUAGAUAUGUCUCAGAACUCCGAUCGCGAAGGCAGCCGUCUAAGUCAUAAUUGACCGCUGAUGCACGAAGCGUGGGGAUCGAACAGGAUUAGAUACCCUGGUAGUCCACGCCCUCAACGCUGAUAACUCGAUGUGGCGAUACACAGUUAGCGUCCUAGCGAUAGCGUUAAGUUAUCCACCUGGGGAGUACGCCCGCAAGGGUGAAACUCAAAGGAAUUGACGGGGGCCCGCACAAGCGGAGGAGCAUGUGGUUUAAUUCGUGAUACGCGAGGAACCUUACCCGGGCUUGAAAGUUAGUGAAUGAUUCAGAGACGAAUCAGUCCUUCGGGACACGAAACUAGGUGCUGCAUGGCGUCGUCAGCUCGUGCCCUGAGGUGUUGGGUUAAGUCCCGCAACGAGCGCAACCCCUAUGUUUAGUUGCCAGCAUUUCAGGUGGGGACUCUAAACAGACUGCCUGCGCAAGCAGAGAGGAAGGUGGGGACGACGUCAAGUCAUCAUGGCCCUUACGUCCGGGGCUACACACGUGCUACAAUGGAUGGUACAGCGGGCAGCUACCUGGUAACAGGAUGCUAAUCUCGAAAAGCCAUUUACAGUUCGGAUUGAGGUCUGCAACUCGACCUCAUGAAGUUGGAUUCGCUAGUAAUCGCGUAUCAGCAAUGACGCGGUGAAUACGUUCCCGGGCCUUGACACACCGCCCUCAAGGGCGA
rnacentral:rRNA from 1 species